UACAGAGGGGGCAAGCGUUAUUCGGAAUUAUUGGGCGUAAAGGGCGCGUAGGCGGCCUUGCAAGUGACGGGUGAAAUCCCUCGGCUUAACCGAGGAACUGCCUGUCAAACUGCAUGGCUUGAGACCGGGAGAGGUGAGUGGAAUUCCCAGUGUAGCGGUGAAAUGCGUAGAUAUUGGGAGGAACACCAGUGGCGAAGGCGGCUCACUGGACCGGUACUGACGCUGAGGCGCGAAAGCAUGGGGAGCGAACAGG
rnacentral:rRNA from 1 species